UACGUAGGUGGCAAGCGUUGUCCGGAAUUAUUGGGCGUAAAGCGCGCGCAGGCGGUUCCUUAAGUCUGAUGUGAAAGCCCACGGCUCAACCGUGGAGGGUCAUUGGAAACUGGGGAACUUGAGUGCAGGAGAGAAGAGUGGAAUUCCACAUGUAGCGGUGAAAUGCGUAGAGAUGUGGAGGAACACCAGUGGCGAAGGCGACUCUUUGGCCUGUAACUGACGCUGAGGCGCGAAAGCGUGGGGAGCAAACAGG
rnacentral:rRNA from 1 species